AACGUACGCUGGCGGCACGCCUAACACAUGCAAGUCGAACGAAGUAGCAAUACUUAGUGGCAGACGGGUGAGUAACAUGUAGGUAUCUGCCCUUUGGCCUGGAAUAACACGAGGAAACUUGUGCUAAUACCGGAUAAGUCUUUACGGAGAAAGCUUUAUGCACCAUUGGAUGAGCCUGCACUUGAUUAGUUUGUUGGUGGGGUAAUGGCCUACCAAGACUGUGAUCAAUAGCUGAUUUGAGAGGAUGAUCAGCCACAUUGGGACUGAGACACGGCCCAAACUCCUACGGGAGGCAGCAGUGGGGAAUCUUGCACAAUGGAGGAAACUCUGAUGCAGCGAUGCCGCGUGAGUGAAGAAGGCCUUUGGGUUGUAAAGCUCUUUCGUCGGGGAAGAAAAUGACUGUACCCGAAUAAGAAGGUCCGGCUAACUUCGUGCCAGCAGCCGCGGUAAUACGAAGGGACCUAGCGUAGUUCGGAAUUACUGGGCUUAAAGAGUUCGUAGGUGGUUGAAAAAGUUGGUGGUGAAAUCCCAGAGCUUAACUCUGGAACUGCCAUCAAAACUUUUCAGCUAGAGUAUGAUAGAGGAAAGCAGAAUUUCUAGUGUAGAGGUGAAAUUCGUAGAUAUUAGAAAGAAUACCAAUUGCGAAGGCAGCUUUCUGGAUCAUUACUGACACUGAGGAACGAAAGCAUGGGUAGCGAAGAGGAUUAGAUACCCUCGUAGUCCAUGCCGUAAACGAUGUGUGUUAGACGUUGGAAAUUUAUUUUCAGUGUCGCAGCGAAAGCGAUAAACACACCGCCUGGGGAGUACGACCGCAAGGUUAAAACUCAAAUGAAUUGACGGGGACCCGCACAAGUAGUGGAGCAUGUGGUUUAAUUCGAAGAUACGCGCAGAACCUUACCAACACUUGACAUGUUCGUCGCGACUUUAAGAGAUUAAAGUUUUCGGUUCGGCCGGACGAAACACAGGUGCUGCAUGGCUGUCGUCAGCUCGUGUCGUGAGAUGUUGGGUUAAGUCCCGCAACGAGCGCAACCCUCACUUUUAGUUGCCAUCAUUAAGUUGGGCACUCUGAAAGAACUGCCAGUGAUAAGCUGGAGGAAGGUGGGGAUGACGUCAAGUCCUCAUGGCCCUUACGUGUUGGGCUACACACGUGCUACAAUGGUAUCUACAACAGGAAGCAAAACCGCGAGGUUAAGCAAAUCCUUAAAAGAUACCUCAGUUCGGAUUGCACUCUGCAACUCGAGUGCAUGAAGCUGGAAUUACUAGUAAUCGUGGAUCAGCGUGCCACGGUGAAUGCGUUCCCGGGUCUUGUACACACCGCCCGUCACACCAUGGGAGUUGGUUCUACCUUAAGGCAAGGUUUCAAACCCUUGACCACGGUAUAGUCAGCGACUGGGGUG
rnacentral:rRNA from 1 species